CGGCACCUCCAAGGAGCUCAUCGACAAGAGCACCAAGAUGUCCUUCGCCGGCACCGUGGCCUGGAUGGCGCCCGAGGUGAUCCGCAACGAGCCCGUCUCCGAGAAGGUCGACAUCUGGACGUGGACUCCUCGGCCAUCAUUUGGGGUGUGGGCAGCAACAGCCUCCACCUGCCCGUCCCCUCCGGCUGCCCCGACGGCUUCAAGGUGCUGCUGCGCCAGUGCUGGAACAGCAAGCCCCGGAACCGGCCGUCCUUCCGGCAGAUCCUGCUGCACCUCGACAUCGCCUCCGCCGACGUCCUCUCCACCCCCCAGGAGACCUACUUCAAAUCCCAGGUACCCGGCGGCACCCUGGGGACACCCCAGCAGCACCCCC
rnacentral:lncRNA from 1 species